GAUCCUGGCUUAGGAUGAACGCUAGCUACAGGCUUAACACAUGCAAGUCGAGGGGCAUCAGAUCGAAAGCUUGCUUUGAUGCUGGCGACCGGCGCACGGGUGAGUAACGCGUAUCCAACCUUCCCUAUAGUAGAGAAUAGCCCGGCGAAAGUCGGAUUAAUGCUCUAUGUUGUAUUUAGAAGACAUCUGAAGAAUACCCAAAGGUUUACCGCUAUAGGAUGGGGGAUGCGUCUGAUUAGGUAGUAGGCGGGGUAACGGCCCACCUAGCCGACGAUCAGUAGGGGUUCUGAGAGGAAGGUCCCCCACAUUGGAACUGAGACACGGUCCAAACUCCUACGGGAGGCAGCAGUGAGGAAUAUUGGUCAAUGGACGGAAGUCUGAACCAGCCAAGUAGCGUGCAGGAUGACGGCCCUAUGGGUUGUAAACUGCUUUUAUAUAGGGAUAAAGUCGGGGACGUGUCCCCGUUUGUAGGUACUAUAUGAAUAAGGACCGGCUAAUUCCGUGCCAGCAGCAGC
rnacentral:rRNA from 1 species